GUUCAAAAUGCAGGAACUUUCACUUCCCACUGUGAGCCUCCAAGGGAGUGUGUACAUCUGCAUCCUGCUGCCUCAUGCAUGGAGAUAGCCUUUCUGUUCAACCUGUCAUCUGUUAUGAUCCCACUUCAUCCCAUCAAUGGGAUCUUACUCCUUCAGCCACCCCCUUGGCACCUGUACUUUCAGCUGCUCAGCCUCUACUGGUCCGUUGCCCUCAGCCAAAAAACGCCCCUUCAACCCUGCACUCCUGGUUAUUACC
rnacentral:lncRNA from 1 species